rnacentral:rRNA from 1 species
GGCGACGCUGGCGGCGUGCUUAAACAUGCAAGUCGAACGAUGAACCCUUCGGUGGGGAUUAGUGGCGAACGGGUGAGUAACACGUGGGCAAUCUGCCCUGCACUCUGGGACAAGCCCUGGAAACGGGGUCUAAUACCGGAUACUGACCAUCACAGGCAUCUGUGGUGUUCGAAAGCUCCGGCGGUGCAGGAUGAGCCCGCGGCCUAUCAGCUUGUUGGUGAGGUAAUGGCUCACCAAGGCGACGACGGGUAGCCGGCCUGAGAGGGCGACCGGCCACACUGGGACUGAGACACGGCCCAGACUCCUACGGGAGGCAGCAGUGGGGAAUAUUGCACAAUGGGCGAAAGCCUGAUGCAGCGACGCCGCGUGAGGGAUGACGGCCUUCGGGUUGUAAACCUCUUUCAGCAGGGAAGAAGCGAAAGUGACGGUACCUGCAGAAGAAGCGCCGGCUAACUACGUGCCAGCAGCCGCGGUAAUACGUAGGGCGCGAGCGUUGUCCGGAAUUAUUGGGCGUAAAGAGCUCGUAGGCGGCUUGUCGCGUCGGUUGUGAAAGCCCGGGGCUUAACCCCGGGUCUGCAGUCGAUACGGGCAGGCUAGAGUUCGGUAGGGGAGAUCGGAAUUCCUGGUGUAGCGGUGAAAUGCGCAGAUAUCAGGAGGAACACCGGUGGCGAAGGCGGAUCUCUGGGCCGAUACUGACGCUGAGGAGCGAAAGCGUGGGGAGCGAACAGGAUUAGAUACCCUGUAGUCCACGCCGUAAACGGUGGGCACUAGGUGUGGGCAACAUUCCACGUU